GAUGAACGCUGGCGGCGUGCCUAAUACAUGCAAGUCGAGCGAAUGGAUUAAGAGCUUGCUCUUAUGAAGUUAGCGGCGGACGGGUGAGUAACACGUGGGUAACCUGCCCAUAAGACUGGGAUAACUCCGGGAAACCGGGGCUAAUACCGGAUAACAUUUUGAACCGCAUGGUUCGAAAUUGAAAGGCGGCUUCGGCUGUCACUUAUGGAUGGACCCGCGUCGCAUUAGCUAGUUGGUGAGGUAACGGCUCACCAAGGCAACGAUGCGUAGCCGACCGAGGAGGGUGAUCGGCCACAAUGGGACUGAGACACGGCCCAGACUCCUACGGGAGGCAGCAGUAGGGAAUCUUCCGCAAUGGACGAAAGUCUGACGGAGCAACGCCGCGUGAGUGAUGAAGGCUUUCGGGUCGUAAAACUCUGUUGUUAGGGAAGAACAAGUGCCAGUUGAAUAAGCUGACACCUUGACGGUACCUAACCAGAAAGCCACGGCUAACUACGUGCCAACCGCCGCAGUAA
rnacentral:rRNA from 1 species